AUUGAACGCUGGCGGCAGGCCUAACACAUGCAAGUCGCACGAGUGGCGGACGGGUGAGUAAUGUCUGGGACACUGCCUGAUGGAGGGGGAUAACUACUGGAAACGGUAGCUAAUACCGCAUACCAUCAGAUGUGCCCAGAUGGGAUUAGCUUGUUGGUGGGGUAACCGCUCACCAAGGCGACGAUCCCUAGCUGGUCUGAGAGGAUGACCAGCAACACAGGAACUGAGACACGGUCCAGAAUCCUACGGGAGGAAGCGGUGGGGAAUAUUGCACAAUGGGCGCACGCCUUAUGCAGCGAUGCCGCGUGUAUGAAGAAGGCCUUCGGAUUAUAAAGUACUUUCAGCGGGGAGGCGUUACCCGCAGAAGAAGCACCGGCUAACUCCGUGCCAGCAGCCGCGGUAAUAC
rnacentral:rRNA from 1 species